UACAGAGGGUGCGAGCGUUGUCCGGAAUCACUGGGCGUAAAGGGCGCGUAGGCGGUCUGGUAAGCGUGCGGUGAAAGCCCGGGGCUCAACCCCGGGUCGGCCGUGCGAACUGCUGGACUGGAGCUUGUCAGAGGCAGGCGGAAUUCCGGGUGUAGCGGUGGAAUGCGUAGAGAUCCGGAAGAACACCGGUGGCGAAGGCGGCCUGCUGGGACAGCGCUGACGCUGAAGCGCGACAGCGUGGGGAGCAAACAGG
rnacentral:rRNA from 1 species